rnacentral:rRNA from 1 species
UUGCAGUUAAAAAGCUCGUAGUUGGAUUUCUGCGUGGGCGGGGCAGGCGGGCCUUAUAUGGCUUUCGACCUAGCACUGCCCGCGCAUCCUGGCACGAACAUCGCUUCCAUUAGUUUGGUGGCGGCUGGGAUUGCCUCGUUUACUUUGAGAAAAAUAGAGUGUUCAAAGCAGGCUCAUUGCCUUGAAUAAGUUAGCAUGGAAUAAAGAUAAAGGACUCCGGUUCUAUUUUGUUGGCAUUCGGGACUGAAGUAAUGAUUGAUAGGGACAGUUGGGGGCGUCUGUAUUUCGGAGCGAGAGGUGAAAUUCUUAGACCUCCGGAAGACAAACCGCUGCGAAAGCGUUCGCCAAGGAUGUUCCCUUUGAUCAAGAACGAAAGUUGGGGGAUCGAAGACCAUCAGAUACGGUCGUAGUCUCAACUAUAAACUAUACCAGCUAGGGAUCGGCCGCCGUUGUU